UUGGGUGUAGCUCAGUGGUAGAGUGUAUGCUUAGCAUACUCGGGGCCCUGAGUUUGAUCCCCAGGACCCAAA
rnacentral:tRNA from 1 species